GUGUAAACCCUUUAAAUCCUGGUUCCCUUAAUUUAUCCACUUAUAUUUAUCUAUCUAUUCUAGUAUUGCCCGGCAUUUAUGCUAACUGCCUUAUGAUUACUAUUUUUAUAUUAUCAACAUUUUGUCUUUUAAUGACCAAACAAUUUGUAUUGUCCAGUAGAGCUGAUCAAAUAGCUGUUUCUCAACAAUGUAUUCCGAUCACAUAAAAUUCCUGUAUUUUUUUAUUAUAACCCUGACUAAAAGAUAAGAUUACCGCUCUCUCUCUCUCUCUGAGAGCUGUUAUUCUCCUGGAAGCUAUGCUGUUCUUGUCCCUUUGAGUAGUUUCACAAGAUUCUUUUUACUUCACCCUCUUGAUUUACCCUUUUAUCGGCAGAGUUCUUUGAGUAAGUAAUUCUUAUUUCUUAAAACUGACUAUUGCCUUGCCGUCUAAAGCAGAAAAUAAAAAAUAUGAAGGGCAUGCUAAGUUCUGUGUUUCUGUAGUUAAAACCAUAAAUAUGUACGUGUGGUCGUUUCAAUCUGUAUUGACAAAUGGGAUAGAUGCAAUGAUUUCUUAUGAAUAUUUAAAAAUAUAAAAUUUACUCCACUAUUUAGGUAGGGGGGUUGCUGGGACGGGAAGGAGAUGACAUCGUUGCUAAGAUUGUUGACUGCUUUAUGCAUCUUUGGAUGGUUCUAAUAUAAUUCAUGGAACGGACGUCUCACAGUUCUUAGCGAUUGCAAGUCAUAUUGUCAGUUAGAGAAGUCCUACAGUUUACUUUUGAAAUGCAUAUAUAUUUUUUUACUGGAUUCCAGUAUGCACCUGUGAAUUCAGUUGUUAGCAUCAUGAGCCUACAUUGGGUUUCCGUCACUGAUGAUGGCAAGGUAUACCAGGCACUUAACCACAUGCUUGACAAAGAAUCAAGCCCUCUACUGUGCUACUGGUCGGUGAAGGGAUCAAUAUAGCAUACCACUUUAUUAGUCUUAUGAUAAAAGCCUAUACCUGCUUCACUACCAGUUACUACUGGUCUGGCAUCAUGUGUUGCCUACAUUUUAUGGAGA
rnacentral:lncRNA from 1 species